CCUACGGGAGGCAGCAGUGGGGAAUCUUGCGCAAUGGGCGAAAGCCUGACGCAGCCAUGCCGCGUGAAUGAUGAAGGUCUUAGGAUUGUAAAAUCCUUUCACCGGGGACGAUAAUGACGGUACCCGGAGAAGAAGCCCCGGCUAACUUCGUGCCAGCAGCCGCGGUAAU
rnacentral:rRNA from 1 species